UGGGGGAUAUUGCACAAUGGACGAAAGCCUGAUGCAGCGACGCCGCGUGGGGGAUGAAGGCUUUCGGGUUGUAAACCUCUUUCGCUAUCGAACAAGGCCCGCUUAGGGUGGGUUGAGGGUAGGUGGAGAAGAAGCGCCGGCUAACUACGUGCCAGCAGCCGUGGUAAUACGUAGGGCGCGAGCGUUGUCCGGAAUUAUUGGGCGUAAAGGGCUUGUAGGCGGCUUGUUGCGCCUGCUGUGAAACCGCGGGGCUUAACUUCGCGCGUGCAGUGGGUACGGGCAGGCUUGAGUGUGGUAGGGGUGACUGGAAUUCCAGGUGUAGCGGUGGAAUGCGCAGAUAUCUGGAGGAAAACCGAUGGCGAAGGCAGGUCACUGGGCCAUUACUGACGCUGAGGAGCGAAAGCAUGGGUAGCGAACAGG
rnacentral:rRNA from 1 species